rnacentral:rRNA from 1 species
AGGGCACCACCAGGAGUGGAGCCUGCGGCUUAAUUUGACUCAACACGGGAAAACUCACCCGGCCCGGACACUGGAAGGAUUGACAGAUUGAGAGCUCUUUCUUGAUUCAGUGGGUGGUGGUGCAUGGCCGUUCUUAGUUGGUGGAGUGAUUUGUCUGGUUAAUUCCGAUAACGAACGAGACUCUAGCCUACUAAAUAGAUCGUCGGCUUACAAACGCCGGCGAGACUUCUUAGAGGGACAGGCGGUGAUUCAACCGCACGAAACAGAGCAAUAACAGGUCUGUGAUGCCCUUAGAUGUCCGGGGCCGCACGCGCGCUACACUGAAGUGAUCAGCGUGCUUUUUCAACCUACUCUGUCAAGAGUGGGGAACCCAAUGAACCUUCUUCGUGAUUGGGAUAGGGGAUUGUAAUUAUUCCCCUUGAACGAGGAAUUCCCAGUAAGCGCGAGUCAUAAGCUCGCGUUGAUUACGUCCCUGCCCUUUGUGCACACCGCCCGUCGCUACUACCGAUUGAAUGUUUU